rnacentral:rRNA from 1 species
ACUCCUACGGGAGGCAGCAGUGGGGAAUAUUGCACAAUGGGCGCAAGCCUGAUGCAGCGACGCCGCGUGGGGGAUGACGGCCUUCGGGUUGUAAACCUCUUUCGACAGGGACGAAGCUUUGGUGACGGUACCUGUAUAAGAAGCACCGGCUAACUACGUGCCAGCAGCCGCGGUAAUACGUAGGGUGCGAGCGUUGUCCGGAAUUACUGGGCGUAAAGAGCUCGUAGGUGGUUUGUCGCGUCGUCUGUGAAAUUCCGGGGCUUAACUUCGGGCGUGCAGGCGAUACGGGCAUAACUUGAGUGCUGUAGGGGAGACUGGAAUUCCUGGUGUAGCGGUGGAAUGCGCAGAUAUCAGGAGGUACACCGAUGGCGAAGGCAGGUCUCUGGGCAGUAACUGACGCUGAGGAGCGAAAGCAUGGGGAGCGAACA